rnacentral:rRNA from 1 species
GACGAACGCUGGCGGCGCGCUUAACACAUGCAAGUCGAACGGAAAGGCCUGCUUUCCCUUGUGGUUUGCGGGUACUCGAGUGGCUAACGGGUGAGUAACACGUGAGUGAUCUGCCCCCAACUUGGGUAUAAGCCUGGGAAACUGGGUCUAAUUCCCGAUAGGACUGCAGGGUGGUGCCUGUGGUGGCAGACGAUCUUCUAGUGGUUGGGGAUGAGCUCGCGGCCUAUCAGCUUGUUGGUGGGGUAAUGGACUACCAAGGCGGCGACGGGUAGCCGGCCUGGGAGGGGGGACGGCGACAGUGGGACUGGGACACGGCCCAGACUCCUACGGGAGGCAGGAGUGGGGAAGAUUGCACAAUGGGCGGAAGCGUGAUGCAGCGACGCCGCGAGGGGGAUGACGGGCUUCGGGUAGUAAACUCCUUUCGACCGAGAGGAAGCCACCUGGUUGGAAGGGUGGUGACGGUAGUGGUAGAAGAAGCACCGGCUAACUACGUG